rfam:Ovis aries breed Texel chromosome 8, whole genome shotgun sequence.
UCCCCAGUGGCUCAGGUGAUAAAGAAUCUGCCUGUAAUGCAGGAGAUCCAGGUUCGAUCCCUGGGUAGGGAA